UACGUAGGGCGCAAGCGUUGUCCGGAAUUAUUGGGCGUAAAGAGCUCGUAGGCGGUUUGUCGCGUCUGCUGUGAAAACCCAAGGCUCAACCUUGGGCUUGCAGUGGGUACGGGCAGACUAGAGUGCGGUAGGGGUGACUGGAAUUCCUGGUGUAGCGGUGAAAUGCGCAGAUAUCAGGAGGAACACCGAUGGCGAAGGCAGGUCUCUGGGCCACGACUGACGCUGAGAAGCGAAAGCAUGGGGAGCGAACAGG
rnacentral:rRNA from 1 species